rnacentral:lncRNA from 1 species
GAAAUAUAAUUAAUUUUUCGUUAUUUAGAAAAAAAAAUCAAAAUAUCUUUUUUUGUCUCUAAUAUAAGAGCAAACAAAAAAAGUUGGUGACGAUAGAAGAUUAUUUUUGAAAGGGAAUAAGUUAAACUAUCUCUUUUUUUUUCUAACUUAAAGGCAAAUCUUUUUUUCCCCAGACAUAAGAGUAAAUAAGAAAAGUUAAUAACGAUAGAAAGGUAUAUUUGAAAGGGAAUAAAUUAAAAUAUUUUUUUUCUCCCUAACUUAAGGCCAGGAAAAUCUUUUUCGCCCCUAAUGUAAAAACAAAGAAGAAAAAUUGGUGAUAGUAGAAGAGCAUAUUUGAAAACACAAAAUAGUAAUUUUAUAAAAAUAACGAUUGUUCCUAACAGUUCACUAACAUAAUCUAACUCUAGUGGCAUAUUUGAAAGAACUUGUCACUCCCUAAAUUCCCAGGGGGUCACCCAUUCUAGGACUACUUCAGUCCUAGCACGCUUAACUCUCUUAACCUCUUGGGCCUAGCCACCACCCAAAAUAUUUAAACCGGUUUAAGAGUUCUAGUCCUAUUAUAUCUUAUAUAUAGGACUAUAUGGAGUCUCACAAUCUCCUUCCCUUUAAGCCAUGACGUCCUCGUCAGGCUCAGACUCACAAGUAUUAGGCGAUGUAAGACUCGUCUCGCUAGCCUUGUCAUUCCGACCCUAGCUCAGCCGAAACUCAUCUCACAUUUUCGACUGGUAAUUGGCUCUAAUACCAACUGUGACGCCCCAACUUUCCAGGAGAUCACCCAUCCUAGGACUACUCUAGUCCUAGCACGCUUAACUUUCUUAACCUCUUGGGCCCCUAGUUAGUUAAUUCGUAAUUAAUACGCAAAUUAUUUGCGAAUUUUUGAAGAUACGAAUUAAACGGCUCGUUUCCAUAUUUUUUCGAAAAGUUCGAA